rnacentral:tRNA from 1 species
GAUUUUGUAGCUCAGCUGGAUAGAGCGUCUGCCUUCUAAGCAGAUGGUCGAAGGUUCGAACCCUUCCAAAAUCA